AUCACUUUUCUAUUAACUUCAACCUCCUCCAUCAUCGUAUCUCAUACAGGUUUUGAUCUCUUUUUUUUCCAUUAAAAUCGUAGCUUUAGCAGUCAUUGAGUUAUCAAGCUCGUGUCUCUCGUCUCAUUGAUGUAGUCUGUUUGGAAUCUCAGGUCUCUGUUUCUAGUGUUGUGCUCUGUUCUUGAUUUGGUUUGCGAAUUAGGGGUUUAUUGAGGUGAUGAUGAUAACAUAUAAUCCCAGCUCUAUGAGACCUUUUGUGGUCCAGGACUAGAACUAUGUUCAUUCAUAUAUCUGAGCCUUCUUGCUUGAUUUCAAUUCUUUGUUUGAUUAGUUUUCUUUUUCUUUUUAAGCUUUAGCGUUUUGGAUUUUAGGGUUGAUGUGGCGAUGAUGAUAACAUAUUAUCCCAGCUCAUUAUGAGGCCUUUUGUGGCCAAGGAGAAUAAAUGUUUCUAUAACAUUAUCUGAGCCUUACAACUCUAAUAUUCACAACUGUUAUUUUGGUAUUGUAUAUGUUGCACAUCGUGUUCCCUAUGAUGAUUUUAAAUUAAUGCUAAUGUAUAUCUGAUAAAUUUAUUUGAUGAUAAAUGAUUUGCUGAGGGAACUUAGCUUUUUUAUCAAGUGUUUUUUGUUUUUGGGUAUGAUUGUUUUUUAAUUGAAGGUUAAAGGAUUCCCUGUGAUGGUAUUAACCAUGCUAAUACUGAUUGUCUUGUGACUGAAUCAAUGUUAUGUGUCUGAGGGAAUCUAUUAAGAAUUUUCUACUGUGUUUGUUUUAGGUGUAGUCGUCUCUUUCAUAAUAUAAACAUUGACUAUGUCUUAUAGUUUACUUGGUGAUAGUGAACUUUUUGUAUAUUGAGAACAUUGACAUGGAGGAAACGAAAAGAACUGAACACUUCCAAACACAGAAUCCUUAUACAUAUAUACCUUUUUAAUCCUUUAACUUACAAUUUUUUUUUUUCGUGUCCUUUUCCUUAUACAUGUAUACCUUUUUAAUCUAUGUGCGUUAAGCCGGCACAUGAAGUUACUAUUAUGUGUUCAAUAAUUAUAUGUUUAUCCUGUGUUUCAUAGCUUAAUCAGUGGUUCUCAUCUUCAUUUCACUACAACAAAUUUGGGUUUUGGUAGCAGUUCUUUUUAGCACUAAUUCAGUAACUGCUACUAAAAGUGCCAAAAUAGAUUGUGAGCUCUAUUGUAGCAUUGGAUUAGUGCUGGGGAAAAAUUUCAAUAAGCGGGAACCCAAAAAUCACUACAAUAGCUGAAAAAUCAUUUGGAGGCAAAACACUUAGCCAAAACUUUGUUUUUUCCGCUACUCUCUCUCACUUGGACUAAACACUUAAAAAAACAUUUUGCAAAAAAUAAAUAUCUCAUUUUCUCAGAAAAUCGAUUCCCAUCCUCCAUCGCCUCUCAUCCUCUGUCGCCACCACCAUGGGGACAACAACACACCAACAAACCUUUGUCGCCUUUCGAACACCGAUGACAGAGUGAAAACAAAACCACCGAUGUUGCUUCCGCUUCCCUCCGAUUCAGAUUCUGGAUCUGAGACUGAUUCUGAUGGCUUCUUACAGGGCCUCCACGCCUAAUUCUUUCCUUCUCUCUCACGGUUCUCUCUCUCUCGCUUCUCAAGGAAACAAAGUUAGAGUCUUUUUUUUAUCUCGGUGGUGAUUCUGUGAAAUGGAAGCUUCGUGUGUAUCUUUCUUUUUUUCAUCUUGGUGAUUCGGUUCUAGGGUUAAAUACUUAGCUUUUAAUAAUUCCUCUAGGUGAAUGUUUCUCCUUUGACAUUUUUCUGAAUCUUAUUCAACGGAUUUAAGUCCAACUACUUUUUGCUUUUUAUGCUUUCAUUGUUGUGUGGAUUCUUAUGUUUGAAUUAUUAUUGAUUUUGUUUGUAUGGUAUACAGAGGCUGGAGCUGGAGAAGAAAAGGUAGGCUUGUUUUUGUUGUUUUUCCUCAUAUUAGUACCUUAGCUAGGAUUGGUAUUUGUACAAGGUUCUGCUGGGUUUUAGAUGAAGAGUAUGAAUGUUAAAAGUCUGAAUCUUUCUACUUUUAAUUGGGGCUGAUUUGUGCAGUUUGUUAUGUUUCUUCUUUAGCAAUGUGUCUAUUACAGUUGACAACUCGCUAAGCCCAGCUCACACCCUCAUUCAAGGGAGUGACAGAACAGACAGAACCUUCUCAAGGGACUUACUACUACUGAUGAAAAUACUGCUCCGCCAUGAAGUUGCUACUUUGGGGACUGUAAGUCCUUAAGUAUUGUGGUGAAACUGAGUUUUUCGAUAAACUGGAGAUGGUGAGGAUUAAUGGCUGCAAGAAAGGUGACUCUUCCAAUAUGAUAGGAAGCCAAGUAGUCACCCUCCGUGUAUCAAGAUCUUGGUUUCGGACUAUAUACCAAGUGUUCCCAUCUGUUUGAGCUUGUUGAAGAAUAAUAAAUCCUCAAUUGCUGAUUUUGAUCCAAGAUUGUUAUGUCUGCUAAUUCGCAUAUUACCAAUUCAGUGACUCUUGGUUCCAAAUUCGUUUUGGUGGUCAUAGUCUUCUUUAGUCAUGGUUUGGUUCUAAGCGACUAUUGAUCGAUAAGGGGUCAUGUUUUAGCUGCCAUGAACUCCAACGAGUUUGUUCUUCUCUCUAUUUCUCCGCCUGUAAGAUGGCUGCAAGAUAGGAAGCCAAAAACACAUCUGCUUUGAAGUCCCAGAUUGAAUAGCUACAACUGGAGAGGGAUGGAUUUCAAAGGAUGGUGAUUGGAAACCAGUUACUAUAAGGUGAUCUGCUGAUGGUAUGAGUGGAGAUCUACUAGGACUGCUUCGGUUUCUUUAUUACUUGGUUUGGUGAAGAAAUAUACUUGCCUUCUUUUUAAUUAUGACUUGGUGAUUCAAGCAUUUGUAUCUUUUGGGUAUUUGAUAGAAUGAUUUUAUGUAAAAUGUAUGUUUUAUAAAUUUAAUGUAAUAUUAAUUUUAUUUAUGAA